rnacentral:rRNA from 1 species
AAGUCGAGGGGCAGCAUGGUCUUAGCUUGCUAAGGCCGAUGGCGACCGGCGCACGGGUGAGUAACACGUAUCCAACCUGCCGAUAACUCGGGGAUAGCCUUUCGAAAGAAAGAUUAAUACCCGAUGGUAUAAUCAGACCGCAUGGUAGAACUAUUAAAGAAUUUCGGUCAUCGAUGGGGAUGCGUUCCAUUAGAUAGUAGGCGGGGUAACGGCCCACCUAGUCUUCGAUGGAUAGGGGUUCUGAGAGGAAGGUCCCCCACAUUGGAACUGAGACACGGUCCAAACUCC